GCUUGUUUGGAAGGACGAUGCGUAUUUGGAAGGACGGUGCGUGUUUGGAAGGACGAUGCUUGUUUGGAAGGACCAACUGGAAAUUUGAGGAACACUGCCUAUUCUGAUGUGGGAGAGGUGGAAUUCUGGUGACUUUCUGAUGUUUGGACACGUGGAAUGAUUCUGGUGACUUUCUGAUGUUGGGAGAAGUAGAAUUCGCCAUCCUCGCUACCUGUGGAUGCCUGUAUCACUCAGAAACCUCGGAGACGUGAGCAUCCACAAGAGACCCCUGGAUUGUGAAAGUGUACAGUUUGCAAGUGGAGUCGUUUGAUAGAUUGCUCGGAAUCGUCGGCAUGGGGGACAAGGUUGCAUGUUAACUGAGGUGAGGUAACCAAUUUCUUUGCAGGGCCACAUGCACUUGUCCCCCCCCCCCCCCCCCUUGGAUUGUGACAGUUUGCAAGUGGAGUCAUUCGUUGGAUUGUUCGGAAUCAUCGGCGCAGGGGGAACAAGGUUGCAUGUUAACUGAGGUGAGGUAACCAUUUUCUUUGCAGCUCAAGGUCACAUGCUCUUGUUCCCCCCGGGAUUGUUACAGUUUGCAAGUGGAGUCGUUCGUUUUGUUCAGAGUACAAGCUACCACGGAUGAGAAGCUUACUGGAGAGAAGAGGGAAAGUAGCGAUGAACCAACGACUUCAGGGGAAUCCGAUUGACCAAUCCAAGUUUACCCCCCCCCCCCUCCCCACUGGAGAUGAGAGGCUGUAGAGGAAUUUGUUGUGGUGACAAUGAAUCAUUCUAAUCAAAGUCAGUAUGGGCUCUGAGAAACACGCAGGAGACAAGAUCUGCCGCAGUCAUUGUUAGCAAGAACUACCAGUUUAAUAAGGUGGACCACACAGACAGCACGAUAGCCUUGCAGAGGAGAGCGUUUUUCACGAGUGGAUUUACAACUGACUGACCAAUCAACCUUCAUCAGAACUUUUUGAAGUAGUGGUGGUGGGAAAGUGGUGCUGGGAAAGCUAGGUUUUCAGGGAGGUUGCUGACAGCCAGGUGAUGACCAGCAUCUUUCACCAGUAGUCUCCUGGUCUUCCACUGCAUCUCCAAUUUCUUGCCACCACAGACGGAUGUUUCAGUGACGUAGUUUUGCUCCAACCUCUCUGCCAUCUGCCAUGCGAUGGGCGCUAGAGCACAUCCCGUUGAGGAAGUCGGUAGGUAGGGGUGGAGGAGCAAAGUUCAAGUUAACAAAGCUGAUGUUUAAUGGUAGCUACUAGAGAUCCUGGAUGCUGACUCCGCCUAGGUUUUCACGAUACCUGGACCUAAAAGAUGAGCUGCUUUUGAUGCUGAAAUGCUCUGAAACGGCACUACUUUGUGACAUCACACAUCAGACAGGACCUGAGUAACCUGAGUAAGUCAUCAGGCGCCUGUUAUCAGAACCACAAGAAGAGGAACGCAUGUGUUUCAGGUUUUCCUGCUCUUACCAAGAAGAUGUUGCUCUUGAUGCUGGAAUGCCCUUGAAACUGCACCACUUUGUGAUGACAUCAAACAUCAGAGAAACUACAUCCAAGGUGCCUUGGGCCUAUUUAGAAUGUACUAGGCUGUUAAAUGAGAAAAAAAGGUCACAUGGGCAAUUCCAUGCUGGUGGAGACACAAGACCAAACAACCAUUUACGGUUUGUUCAAGUUUGAUUUGCUGAAGUGACACAAUAUAGCUCGGCGUUUUAAAACUGAAAUAGUUUCGUCCCAUGCGCGCACUAUUCUGCGAGUUACGGUACACCAUCACAUCAAAGUCUGCAAUGACGUCAUGAUGACUUUAAUAUGGAUGCACUGGUAAGGAAUUUUGAAUUAGUCUUUUGCUAUCUAUUCUGUAAUAUUUUCUCUCAAAUUUUUAUGUUACCAUUUUGAAGGCAUCUUUGUGAAAAUGGAUAUUAUUUUUAAGAUGUCAAUAUAAGUCAGAUUUUGCUUGUAUACUAAAAUACAAAUUUAAAUAUUUAUAAGUUACCAAAACUGAUUUUUUUUCUUUGUAAAUACCUACAUUGUCUGACGAAUGAAUAAUUGUUACAAAUUUAUUAGCUUGAGUCCUGACAAGUUUAUUUAAAAAAAAAUAUUUUGUUUACAUUUUAGUUUUAAUGCUUAGGCUAGCCAUGAAAUAUUGUAAUGUCGUCACAUGUAAUGUCAUGCAGUCACAAUCUCUCAGCGUAACGUAAUGCCAGUCACAUUAUUGCACAGUCUGUAGUUGAGGAAAAUGCAAGUACACAUGUUAUUUAAGUCCAUACACAUACAAGUAGUAAACUCUUUGAACCAAAAUGCAACUGAGUGCAAAGCCACUGUCUGAGCAACUUGUAUAUUUUUCACAAAACAGCCUUUUUAAACUUGGACAUCUGCAACCCUUUGAUAAAAUGAAAAAUGUAUGUGUUUUGCUGUUGGGUACAAGUCGUCUAUCAUUGCCCAUUCUAAUGGGGUGGGGUGGGGGAAGUCUUCCCUGUAAGAACUGAAUUAUUGUUUGGCACCAAAUAGUUUGAUUUUCAUAAUUCCCUAUUUAUUACUUAACAUUGGCUAACUUAUUUCAUUUGUUUUGUUGUUGGUUCAUUGGAUAACUUUAGUAUUGCUAGGAAAAUAGCAAGUAAAAUUGUGUUAAUGUAAACAUGUACAAAUUAUGAUUAAUUCAGUUGAAUGUUUCAUAUUUUCAGGAAAGAUGUACAGCCAAGUUGCAACUUACAGCAGCAGAGAGAAAGACACAGCAGAAACAAAACUUGGAAGAAAAUGAUGGUAUGAAGACCACAAGAGGAACAAAUGAAAGAGGAAUAGACAGAAAAGAACAGAACAUGAGGAGUUUCAUAAGUGAGCAAGAAUAAUACUAUGAGAAAAAUAGUUAAAAUUGAGCAUGGAAUUUGUUAAACAUGUUGAGACCUCAAAAUUUUUAGAAACACAGAAAAUAUGAUGCAAGUCUAUUUACACAGUUUUUAUUGGAGACAACUUUAAUAUUAUAAUGGUCGCUUCGCAAAAUUUGUCACUUAAUUAGCUUUAUGAUCAGUUACUUUUGGUGUUGAUGGUAUGUACAUGUAGGUAUUUUAUUGCGUUUUUGUUUUUGAUAAAUUCUAAAACUCUCUGAGUUCGGAUAUUGAAAAAUUAUUUUGUUCUUGCAUACAGUCACUGUUGGAAAUUUAUAAAGAAAAUAAAACUUGACCUGAACAGAAACUAUUCAACACACAGUGUCUCAUUUCUCAAUUAUUAUGAUUAUAAAAACUUUCAUUUUACAUCUUUGUACAUGUAUAAAGUGUUAUACUGGCUAUAAAUUAUAUGAGAAAUAAAAUAUGACAUCCUUUGGCCUUUAACAUUAAGAGAAAUUUCAAAUUUGAUCUAUCAUUUGUUUCCUGUGUUGUUUUUUUAUGUAAUGUCGGUCACAAUAAAGAAAGAGUUCAGUAAGCGAAGGACAGAAAAGAUCAAUGCGUCUACAGGUUGAAAAAUGUAAAAACACUUCAUCCCCCCAAAAAUGAUGCGUAUUGGAAUUAUAUGAUGCGGCUGAUUAGUGUACGCAAACAUACUGGCGUGUUCAAAUCUCAGUUUUUGGCAUGGCGUCUCUGUGUAAACCUAUUGAGAAAAUGACGUUAUAAUUUCUUGUCACAAAAAUGCUAAAAAUUCACCGUACACCUUGAAAAAUUCACUCUUUUACUUCUAAUUGCAAUCAGACGUUAUGUCUUGUACAUCAUAAAAUUAAGAAUGAGAGGUGGUUAUCAUUUUUCUUUAAGAGAAAAAUUUGAAUUAAAACCCUAUGUCACUUUAUCGAUUAGCGUACGAGAAGAAUUGAAGUGAUGGCGUCACGCGUAAAAUGUUCUGAAUCGUGAUACUGAUGCGAAUUUGAAACCUGCAGAAACUCUCUAAUGUCUGUCACCAUGGAAUUGCCCAUAUACUUGCUAAAACUGUAGAUUUUCUGGUUUUGCCCAAUAAGUUAAUUGACAUUAUUGUAUUUCUGUUCAUUUGUGUAGUUAUCAUUUGUUUAAAUUUAAAAUUGAGAUUUUUGUUUGUAUAUCAAUGAGAGAAAGUUAAAAAAUGUUGUACACAGUUGUGCACCCUAGUUGUGGUAAAUAAAAAUUAGUCUCAAUGAGGAGCGCCCUCUAUUGCCCAUGAAUUGCUAAUGACUGUUUAAUGAAUGAAUUAAUGUUUAAUAAUAAUAAUUGAAGUUCGUAGCGCAGAAUCCAUUUCAAAAGUGCUCCCUGGCGCUUUACAAUCAAACUAUUUAUAUAAAUAAAAGGAAUAUAAAUACAAUUUUACUAAUGUGAUUAUUUAAACUCAAAGUGUAUGAUCCACACUAACGAUUGGUUUAAACAUGAUGCAUAGGAGUGCUUUGUUACAAGGUGUAAGAUAUGGUUGACAUGAAUGAAAUCAAGCCAAAUUUGUGUGAUGUAAAAUAUGUUAUCAAACAAGAAAGUUAAACAUUAGUAACUUCUUUGCAAUAUACAAUUGAAACUGUCUUUUUGUAAAGUGACAUUUUGAAACUACAUUCCUAAUAGAAAAAAGUUCUGGGAGCAAAAAUCCAUGUUUUAAGGAAACAAAAUCCAUAAAUAUUUGCUUUUUGAGAUGUCCUUAAAUUUAUGGAAAGAAAAGGGAAAUGGAAAGUGUUUUUGAAAUAAUUUGAGCAUUCUAAAAUGAAUUGGCAUAAUAAUCUAGCCAGAUAGACACAGUUAAAAUAUUUGGUCUAUAGAGGGCAGUAUGCAUAUAUUAUCUGUAACAUGUUUGUAAAUCAAUGUUUAACUUAUUUAAAUUUAGUUGUAAAAGCAAUUAUUCCUGAAAUAAGGCGUUACUGUAUUGGAACUGGUAUUGUUCUUUCUUUUUGAAGUGGUUAAAACAUUUCAGAAUUUGAAAAAAAUAGUUGUAUAUGAUUUGAGGCAAAAAUCACUGACAAUUUUAAGUAAAAUCGAGAUUACCAAAUUUAAAAACUCCAUUUCCACAUUCAAACAAAAGUUUGGCCUUUUAUAGUUAAAAACCAUUUUUUGCCCCCCUCCCCCCCCCCCCGGAAGAAUAAAAUUUGAACAAAUUUAACGUAGGACUUGCUAUUUAAAUAUUGAGCAUUGACAAAUUAGGUAAAUUAAUGGACAUUUAUUAAACAGAAUUGUGUUUCUUGUUAAAUACAUGUACGCAUAGGUUACAAACUGUAAUAAUUAUUAACUUUUAAAAAAAAGUGUGAAAUAGGUUUGUAAAAAGUGUACAUAAUGGCCAACAAUAGAAAGUAUAUGGAAUAAAUGGCUAAAUUUGAGAAUCAGAA